UUAAGUUCAGCGGGUAUCCCUACCUGAUCCGAGGUCAACCUUGUAAAGUGGGGGUUUCUGGCAAGCCGCGCAGGACACCGCAAGUGGUUUGUAUUACUGCACUCAGGGGUCUUUACGAAGCCGCCACUGCUUUUGAGACAGGCCGCAGCGGCGAGUCCAAUACCACGCUAGGCGUGAGGGUUGUAAUGACGCUCGAACAGGCAUGCCCUCCGGAAUACCAGAGGGCGCAAUGUGCGUUCAAAGAUUCGAUGAUUCACUGAAUUCUGCAAUUCACAUUACUUAUCGCAUUUCGCUGCGUUCUUCAUCGAUGCUGGAACCAAGAGAUCCGUUGUUGAAAGUUUUAACUAUUAUAUAGUACUCAGACAGCAAUGAUUCAAGAGUUUAGAUCCUCUGGCGAAGUCGCGCACCGGAUACCGCGGCCUCCGGCAACUCCAACGCCAAAGCAACAAAGUUAGGUAUUCAAAGGGUUGAGAAUAGGGCCGCGAAGCCCGGUAUUCUUUAAUGAUCCUU
rnacentral:misc_RNA from 1 species